rnacentral:rRNA from 1 species
GAUGAACGCUGGCGGCGUGCCUAAUACAUGCAAGUCGAGCGAACAGACGAGGAGCUUGCUCCUCUGACGUUAGCGGCGGACGGGUGUGUAACACGUGGAUAACCUACCUAUAAGACUGGGAUAACUUCGGGAAACCGGAGCUAAUACCGGAUAAUAUAUUGAACCGCAUGGUUCAAUAGUGAAAGACGGUUUUGCUGUCACUUAUAGAUGGAUCCGCGCCGCAUUAGCUAGUUGGUAAGGUAACGGCUUACCAAGGCAACGAUGCGUAGCCGACCUGAGAGGGUGAUCGGCCACACUGGAACUGAGACACGGUCCAGACUCCUACGGGAGGCAGCAGUAGGGAAUCUUCCGCAAUGGGCGAAAGCCUGACGGAGCAACGCCGCGUGAGUGAUGAAGGUCUUCGGAUCGUAAAACUCUGUUAUUAGGGAAGAACAAAUGUGUAAGUAACUAUGCACGUCUUGACGGUAUCUAAUCAGAAAGCCACGGCUAACUACGUG